UGGGGAAUCUUGCGCAAUGGGCGAAAGCCUGACGCAGCAACGCCGCGUGGGGGAUGACGGCCUUCGGGUUGUAAACCUCUUUCGACCGGGACGAAGGAUUCGUUUGACGGUACCGGUAGAAGAAGCACCGGCUAACUACGUGCCAGCAGCCGCGGUAAUACGUAGGGUGCGAGCGUUGUCCGGAAUUAUUGGGCGUAAAGAGCUCGUAGGCGGUUUGUCGCGUCGGCCGUGAAAUCCUGCCGCUUAACGGUGGGCGUGCGGUCGAUACGGGGAGACUUGAGUUCGGUAGGGGAGACUGGAAUUCCUGGUGUAGCGGUGAAAUGCGCAGAUAUCAGGAGGAACACCGGUGGCGAAGGCGGGUCUCUGGGCCGAUACUGACGCUGAGGAGCGAAAGCGUGGGGAGCGAACAGG
rnacentral:rRNA from 2 species